AUUCCGCGCGAUGACGUCACUGCAAGGCGCCGGGGGACACGUUGGCUGCGUUUUCGGCGGGCUUCCCGGGUACAAAAAUGGCUGUGGCUAGCGAUUUCUACCUGCGCUACUACGUAGGGCACAAGGGCAAGUUUGGGCACGAGUUUCUGGAGUUCGAAUUUCGGCCGGACGGAAAGCUUAGAUAUGCCAACAACAGCAAUUACAAAAAUGAUGUCAUGAUCAGAAAAGAGGCUUAUGUGCACAAGAGUGUAAUGGAAGAACUGAAGAGAAUUAUUGAUGACAGUGAAAUUACAAAAGAAGAUGAUGCUUUGUGGCCUCCCCCUGAUAGGGUUGGCCGACAGAAUAAAUGAUGUUUCUCAGGCUUCUGAAGAACUCUGAAGGCCUAAUUUCACUCUGUAAAAAGAAAGUUUGGUUUCUGAAUUGGGUCUUUUCAACUCUUGGAGAAAUUCCUUCAACAACCCCUGGAAGGAAGAAACAUUUAAUUUCACUUUUGUAUAUCCCUGAGGAUUGUACUUUGUAUCACCUUCUUUGAAUAGAAGAAAAUGUGGAGAAAUCUAACACAUGCUGACACUCUGUAGGAGUAACUUAAGUCUUCUGCUUAAAGAAGCAUUAUUUAGAAAAGCAAAGGAGCUUGAAAUUGUAAUUGGAGAUGAGCACAUAUCUUUUACCACAUCAAAAAUAGGUUCUCUUAUUGAUGUAAAUCAGUCAAAGGAUCCUGAAGGCCUUCGAGUAUUUUACUAUUUGGUACAAGACUUGAAAUGUUUAGUUUUCAGUCUUAUUGGAUUACACUUCAAGAUUAAACCAAUUUAAAUUGUAUGUUUUCAGGCUGUUUGUAUAUUUAAUUAAGGGAUGGGAGGGGUUAUUUGUCAUUUACAGUAUUGGGGUUUUUAUGAAUGUGAAGCAAACAAAAAAAAUUUGUAUGUAAACUGAAAAUAAGAAAAUACAUUAGCAAGCUUAAUGGUUAUCCUUACUUGAGUCCAUAUGGGUUGGACAGUCCCCACACACAUUAAAUUCUGUAAAUGAAAGCCACCUUUUGUUAAAAAUUUGCUCUAAUAAAACAUACCAAAUCCUGGUUGCAGAGUAGUUUUUUGUUUUUUCCAGGAGGCUAUGUCUCUAAUUCACUUUAGAGAUAAUAAGAAAUUGUUCUGGUAGAUAUAUCCUGUGACAGAAGAUACUUUAGGUGGAACUAUGUAGCCAGAUUCCCAUCCAUGAAAGGCAAGUGUAGAUUGUCCCUUAUUUCCUUCAUACAUGAUUGGAUUUAAUUUUGGGGGGCUUAUACAAGGUCUAGUUUUUUUUUACAGUUAUGACAAACCCCUCAGGGAUUAUUCACAUUUAAAUAUUUUCAGUUAUAAGCAGUGAGGUCCUAAAGUGUUACAAGAGUACAGUCUACCCCAUGUUAGGCAUAUCUUUGAUUAUGUCUUUAUUCCUUAUUUCACAAUGUAUUUGGUGUGUAGGGGAGGGGGGAGAACUAAAUGAGUUUUCAGCUUUAUAAAUUGUUAAACAUUUAGACAAACAUAUAUGUAUGUAUGAAUGUACAUAAAUAUUUUUAACUCCUAUUGACCACGAGUCUCACUUCAGUUUCCCAGUUCCUUUCAACCUCUUUCUGAUAGAUUUCCUCUUUCAUUACUUUUAGUAACCAUGUUCCUUGUUUCCUUUUAUUCUUCCAUCUGAAGCCCCACUCUUAAAAAGUUGCACUGUUCCAGUAGUUAUAAUCCACUUGCCCUAGGAACAAGUUAGCACUGAAUUUUGGGUGGAAUAAUUAGUUUCUGAAGGCUUGCCAGGACUCCUGAGCAGGUAGGCUCUAGAGUCGGGCAGUCCAAUAACUUUUUUGCAAUAAUGGAAACGUUCUAUGUGCAGUCCAAUAGGGUAGCAACUGGCCAAAUGAGGCCUACUGAUUACUUGAGGUGUGCCUUGUAUAACUGAAUUUAUGGUGCUAUUUAAACAAUUUUUUUCUAACGUGAAAAGGAUAAAACAUUAAAAACUCUUGAGAACUAUAAAGUGAACACCUAUAUGCCUACCCCUACCUAGAUUCUAUACUUAACAUCUUUUUUACUGUAAUAUCUCUAUUAUAAUAAAUCUUGGUUUUUCACUUAACUGGUGUAAUUGGUGCCAAUAAACUACUUUUUUUGUAGUGCUAUUUAAUUUUGAUUAAAUUUAGGUAGCCACGUGUCUAGCGGCUACCGUUUGGACAGUAUAGCUCUAGAGCAUGGCUUGGUAACCUGUUUGCCAUGGAGCACUAGAUGGUCCUUUUCACUCCUCAAAAUGCAUGCCCAUUGUCUUCAGGUUUGCCAUGGAAAGUCAAAUGAUUUCCACUUCAUUAUGCAAGUACGCUAUCAUCUUCAGGUCUUUUGUAUGUAAAAUGUUUCUGUUCCAGUUGUAGACCUUGAUGAUUGUGCAGUAUGAAAUCGUAUUGUAAUUUUCUUGCAUUUAGAUGUCAACCUCAGAAACAGGAACAAUCGUCUUUUGAACUUCCAGUAGGCCCACAGUUGUUGGUUGUUCCUCAAAACAGGUUGUGGCUCCUGUUGAAUAAGAUGAUCCAUUAAAAACUGAACAAGGUUGAGGAGAAAUAGUGCUUACGUUGAAAAAUCUUUAAGUCUUUGUCCCCGUUCUCUAACUUCCUUACGUUUUCGUUUAUUUAGCUCUAUCCCCACUAUCUACUAGAAUUUCUCAUAUUUAAACCAAGAUGGGAGACUAGGUCAUUAGGAAAAUAUUACCGUCUACAAUUUUCUUAUACUUUGAUCUGUCUUUUAUUUGAUUGUAAGUUGCUGAUGGACAGUGAUCAUUAGAAACUGAAUUUUGUAUAAUACUAGUUUUAUAUGAAACUAGAUUUUUAUUGCGCUCAGGUUAUGUUCCUUUUACCUCCUUCCUUAAUAAAGAGACCACUUGAAAUAA